AGCAGCCGCGGUAAUUCCAACUCCAAUAGCGUAUAUUAAAGUUGUUGCAGUUAAAAAGCUCGUAGUUGAAUUUCGGGAUCAGUUCGCCGGUCGUGCCUUGGUAUGUACUGGUGUUACUGGUUCCUCCCUUCUGAAGAACUGUCAUGCCAUUUAUUUGGUGUGGCGGGGAAUCAGGACUGUUACUUUGAAAAAAUUAGAGUGUUUAAAGCAGGCUCGCGCUUGAAUACAUUAGCAUGGAAUAAUGAAAUAGGACGUUCGAUCCUAUUUUGUUGGUUUCUAGGAUUGACGUAAUGAUUAAUAGGGAUAGUUGGGGGCAUUAGUAUUCAAUUGUCAGAGGUGAAAUUCUUGGAUUUAUUGAAGACUAACUACUGCGAAAGCAUUUGCCAAGGAUGUUUUCAUUAAUCAAGAACGAAAGUUAGGGGAUCGAAGACGAUCAGAUACCGUCGUAGUCUUAACCAUAAACUAUGCCGACUAGGGAUCGGAUGAUGUUAAUUUUUAAUGACUCAUUCGGCGCCUUAAC
rnacentral:rRNA from 1 species